GUGCCAGCAGCCGCGGUAAUACGAAGGGUGCAAGCGUUACUCGGAAUUACUGGGCGUAAAGCGUGCGUAGGUGGUUGUUUAAGUCUGUUGUGAAAGCCCUGGGCUCAACCUGGGAACUGCAGUGGAAACUGGACAACUAGAGUGUGGUAGAGGGUAGCGGAAUUCCCGGUGUAGCAGUGAAAUGCGUAGAGAUCGGGAGGAACAUCCAUGGCGAAGGCAGCUACCUGGACCAACACUGACACUGAGGCACGAAAGCGUGGGGAGCAAACAGGAUUAGAAACCCUCGUAGUCC
rnacentral:rRNA from 1 species